UACGGGGGGUGCAAGCGUUGUUCGGAUUUAUUGGGCGUGAAGCGCGUGUAGGCGGUUUUUUGAGUCUGAUGUGAAAGCCCUGGGCUCAACCCGGGAAGUGCAUUGGAUACUGGAAGACUUGAAUACGGGAGAGGGCAGUGGAAUUCCUAGUGUAGGAGUGAAAUCCGUAGAUAUUAGGAGGAACACCGGUGGCGAAGGCGGCUGCCUGGACCGAUAUUGACGCUGAGACGCGAAAGCGUGGGUAGCAAACAGG
rnacentral:rRNA from 1 species